rnacentral:lncRNA from 1 species
GCCGGGCUGCCGGGGGCUGCGGGACAGUCCCGCCGCGCCUGCGCUCGCCACACGCUGGCCCGCUCGGCCGGCAGCCGGCCCGGCCCUGUGCCGUGGCUGGCGCUGCUCAUUGCGCGGCCCUGGGACGCUCGGGGAGCUCUCCGGGAGUGCGGCUGAGCCGAGGGCUUGGGCGUGCUCAGCCCCAGCGGGAGAGGGAGCCUCCUGUCCCAUUUGGAGCAGAGGGGAGAAGAGCUGGCACUUGGGUUUCUGGCAGCUGCCUCCUGCCAAGGCUUGAACGGAUAGGGGAGAGCUCAGUAGACAGGGAGCUGCUUGUUGCAAAGUGAAUAAAAUCCCAUACACCCGUGUGUGUAGAGUUGUUUAUUUCAGUGCUGGAGGUGAGGAGGAUUUCUCCUCCUAAUUCAUCCACCUUUGUCAAUUGCUGUGGUAUAUAUUUAGUAAUUAUUGCUUGGUGUUACUAUGUCAUUAUAACAUAUGGAACUAAUAGACACAGUAUAUUAUACACUCUGGAAUUAAUUUACAUAGUAUAAUCUCAUGGCUAUAGAUAGUUCUUUUUCACUGUGCUUGCGCCUCCCCAAUUUGGGGGUCGUUGGGGGUCUUUGACGAAGGCUUCCAAAGUCGUCUUUGCAUCUGAACUUUUCAACUUUGUCUUCAGAGCAUGCACAGCUACGGUGUUCCUUGGUCUGUCUGGUCCUAACCGGUCUAAUUGCUUUAUUUUGUGGCUAAUUGGCUUGACGUUUGCUAAGUUUUCAUUAGUACUAUACUUACCUCUCUGAAACUGACCACCUGGUGAGAUUUUCAUUUUUUUUUUCCUGUCUCCAGCACUGAGCAACCAGUUAACCAUAUACUAGCCACUACAAUGCAUAGAAAGACGUCUAUAUCAGGUUAAAUAGAUCCAUGAAGUUAUGAUUCAGGUUCUAUUGAUAUCUGGUGAUACAGAUCUGUCAGGUUCUAUUGAUAUCUUAUAAGUCAACCUAUAGAAGCAGCUUGUAAGUUUGACUUAAGUUCUAUAGGCAUCAAACCCCCCAAGACAUGUGGUGAUAUUUUUCUUUCUCACCCUGUUUUGGGAGGAGGUGAGCUUUUGUCUUCCCUGACAAAAGCACAGUUGCUGCCAAGGGAAACACAGCUGAGGAGCAGGAGUGACCCAGCCUUCCCUUUGCUUCCUUUCUUCUUCCCUCCCUGCUGCACAGCUCCCUUGCUCCAGAAGCGCGAUGCUGCCUCACCUGAGGAUUCAGAGCUGCCUCCAGGCCCUUGCAGGAGAAGUGCAGCUGCUCAGGAGAGUGAGGCUUCCCCAGCACCUGCCAAGAAAGUCUGUGCCACCUCUGGACUUGCUGGGGCUUCACCAGUGGAACCAUCAAGAGAGCUCAUCCAGAGAUUUAAUCUCCGCAAGCUCACGGUUCCACUGGUUCGCCUGGACCUGAAACGCCAUCCUGAGCUCAUGGUUCGCCUCACUCCAGUCGACCCUGAAGCUGCUUGCAGGGCCCUUGGACAGAGCAACAGCUGCUCAUCUUCUCAGCAGCACAGCCCAGCCUGCCACCCAUCAGCUGCCCCGGGCACUUCAGUCCCCAGUGCUCCAGCUGGCAGUGCUGGUUAUGCAGCAUGGAGAGCCCCAAGCUGGGUCUGGAGUACUCCUGGGGAAGAGGAAUUGCCACCGCUGGAUCUGGACCUUGUUCUGGAGACACUGGAGGAGAUGCUUUCACCAUCUGUGCCUGAAAGGUCUCCCUCUGCUCAGGUAACUCCAUUGGACAGGGAUGAAAGGGGCUGGAGGGAGAGCUUCUGAAUGUUGUUGCAUGGCUGAGAAGCAAAGGCUUCUUGAAUUCAGCUGGGAAUGGACACGGAAGGAUUUGCGUGUUCAAGCAAGAUUUGCUAAGGAAGAGGGAAUGAAAAGGGGGAAUAGCCCUUAAGUGAGGAUGAGAGGUGUUUGCCAGGUUUGGAUGCUCCUUUUUCUGGAAAGAACUGCCCAUAUCUUAUUGGCAAGCGUGAUGACCCUUUGUCUUCUGCAAACUCUUGCGUAUAUACCAGUUUUCAAAAGCAAUUUGUUGGUGCACAGAAGGAAAUCUGGCAGGCUCUGAUUGUAUCCCUGCAGAAUCUAUUGGUUGAUCUUUGCGUUUCCUUCUUUCUGUUUUUCUUUUCAGGUCAAUGCUAGUGUUGCCCGUGGCUCUUCAGGAGGGGAGGCUGUGAACAAGGCUGCAGCAGAGGGAGCUUUGCCUGCUUGCGGGAGCCGUGUGAACGUUUGCCAGGAGCCCGAGGAGCUUGGUAAGGAGUGAGCCCAGCGUGGUUUAGAGAGAUGGGAGACAGCUGCUCUGAGCCUGCCUCUGACAGGAAGGGAGAUCAGAAGAGUUGAGUUCUUGUCUGCAGCAGGGUUGGUGCUUCCUGGUGCCUUUAGUUCCAAUCCUGCACUGGCACAAGCUCCCCGAGCCCUGCCCCUCCAUGCUUUUCCAGAGGCUCUGACACCGAGUCCUCUGCUGUGGCAAGAGAGCCGGCAAGAAACCUGAGCUGGUGGCAGUUGUGUCACCAAGCUGCGUGUCCCAAUUGGUUCCCAGCUCACAGCAGCCUUCAGCUUCAGCCACUGCAGUGAGGACUGACGUCUCUGUGUCAGCCCAGAGAAAGAACAAGGCUGGGCUUCUUUGUGGCAGCUGGCACUGUCUGUGUUUCAAGAUCUCGGGGGUGCCAUUUGCACUGGGAGUGUUCUGAAUUGAUUGGCGUACUUCAAAACUUCACACACUGGAAAACUUGGAAGGAUCCCUGUUCUUGAAAGAGCAGGCUUCAAAUUCUCAAGU